rnacentral:lncRNA from 1 species
AUCACCACCCAUAAAAUAUUACCAACCACAUUCAUCAUCAUUCUUUUUCUUUCAUCCAAAACAUGAGCAAAACCAUUAUUGGUCUACCUUAAUCCACCAUUACGAACAUAAAUGUCGCAUCGGACAAAUUAAAUUGUCAAAAGUAUAAGAAGUCUUUAAAAAAGAGAGUUAUUAAAUACACAAUACUUUUGUUAUUUUCACAACAAAAAUAUCGCUCUAGAUGUAUAGCGAUGUUGAAAAGCGUCAUUAUAAGAUCUAUAACGACACUUUUAUUGUGAAAAUAAUAAUUUUUUUUGUGAAUUUAACAAUUUCCUUUAAAACCCCGUCAUUGUUCAUACUCUGACUUAUAAUCAUCCAUAUCACUCCAGUUGAGUAAUAAGUUUUCUGGGACUUUUCUAUACAUUCAACUUCAAACCAAAAUUAAAAAUUUAAAUCAAAAUAAACUCAAAUCUCAACAAAAAUCGAAAAGUAUCACUCUAUCAAGAUAGUGAGAAAAAUAUGGGAAAAGUUAAUUUUAACCCCCCUAAAUCACAUUGGUUGAAUUCGAAAAUUAUUGGACUUUGUACUCUAACAAUUUUUUAUCAUAAAAGGAAUGGAAUUAUCUCCAAAUCAACCUCAGUAGUCAUAAAUUUUCAAAAAUUCGUCAUAGUGGCCAAAACCCUUGAAAAACUAAUUUAAACACACCCAAAUCUACCAAUUUAGAUUUGAAAACUACUGGGCAUUGUUUCUUUACAAUUUUCGAGUGAAAUAUACCUAAAUUACCCACAAAAAACCCUCCAAAAAUGCAAUAAUCUUACCUAUAAAGGCAUGGUCGCGACUUGUUUUUUUCUUGUAAUUUUUUGCCUGUUUAAUUUCUUCAACGAAAAUAGCUACAGUGAUAACUCAUAACUAUUAUGAAGGCCACGGGCGAUGAUGGUGGAGUUCG